UGUGGGUAGGGGUGAAAGGCCAAUCAAACUCCGUGAUAGCUGGUUCUCCCCGAAAUGCAUUUAGGUGCAGCGUCGUGUGUUUCCUCCUGGAGGUAGAGCUACUGGUUGGUUUAGCGGGACUAUCAUCUUAGCGACAUCAGCCAAACUCCGAAUGCCGGUGAGGUCAGAGCACGGCAGUGAGACUGCGGGGGAUAAGCUUCGUAGUCGAGAGGGAAACAGCCCAGAUCGCCGGCUAAGGCCCCUAAGGGUGUGCUAAGUGGAAAAGGAUGUGGGAUCGCGAAGACAACCAGGAGGUUGGCUUAGAAGCAGCCAUCCUUGAAAGAGUGCGUAAUAGCUCACUGGUCGAGUGGUUCUGCGCCGACAAUGUAGUGGGGCUCAAGUACACCGCCGAAGCCGCGGCAAUCACCAUUUUGUGGUGGUUGGGUAGGGGAGCGUCGCGUGACUGCUGUGAAGCGCUGGGGUAACCCUAGUGUGGAGUGUGCGCGAGUGAGAAUGCAGGCAUGAGUAGCGAAUGAGGAGUGGAAAACUCCUCCGCCGAAUGACUAAGGGUUCCUGGGCCAGGUUAAUCCUCCCAGGGUGAGUCGGGACCUAAGGCGAGGCCGACAGGCGUAGUCGAUGGAUAACGGGUUGAUAUUCCCGUACCCGUGUGUCCGCGCCCAUGGUGAAUCAGGGAUACUAACCCACCUGAACACGCGCCUUGUGCCAGCCUUUUAGGUUGGUUGGUGUGUGUGAUGCUGGGGACCUGAACUGGUAGUAGCCAAGUGAUGGGGUGACGCAGGAAGGUAGCCGUGCCACGUGAUGGAUAUCGUGGUGUAAGCGUGUGGCCCGUGUUCUAGGUAAAUCCGGAGCACAGUGGGGUGAGGCGUGAUGCGUACCCGUUUUGGGGAAGUUGGUGAUCCUAUGCUGCCGAGAAAAGCCUCUAGCGAUGUGGAUAUACGGCCCGUACCCGAAACCGACACAGGUAGUCAGGUAGAGAAUACUAAGGCGAUCGGGAGAACUGUGGUUAAGGAACUCGGCAAAAUGCCCCCGUAACUUCGGGAGAAGGGGGGCCAUGACUGGUGACCGACGUGGUUGAGCUGGUUGUGGCCGCAGAGAAUAGAGGGAAGCGACUGUUUACUAAAAACACAGGUCCGUGCGAAGACGUUUAAGUCGAUGUAUACGGACUGACGCCUGCCCGGUGCUGGAAGGUUAAGAGGACCUGUUAGA
rnacentral:rRNA from 1 species